CCCUUAGAUGUUCUGGGCCGCACGCGUGCUACACUGAGUGGAUCAGCGGGUCAGGUUGCGCGAAAGCGUUUCCUAAUCUUUAAAUCCGCUCGUGAUGGGGAUUGACGGUUGCAAUUUUCUGUCUUGAACGAGGAAUUCCUAGUAAGCGCAAGUCAACAGCUUGCGUUGAUUACGUCCCUGCCCUUUGUACACACCGCCCGUCGCUACUACUGAUUGGAUGUUUAAGCGAGGUUCUCGAACUGCUAGCGACUUAGCUUCGGUGAGGUCGCAGUGUGGGAAGUGAACCUAGCUUUGGUGUCUAGAGGAAGUAAAAGUCGUAACA
rnacentral:rRNA from 1 species